AAUAAAUAAAUCUCUAUACGAUUUCUUCACUCGCGGCUAGCCUUCUCAGUUUCUUCCUUUUCACACUCUCAUAUUGUUUACAAUCGCAUCCUCUCCGUUUCUCCGCCGUCGUCAAGUUAUAUGCCGUAGCUAUUCCGUCCGUUUUCCGCUGUCGUUUUUUCCAAUUCCUCCCUGCUCGCACCUUUAGAAGCCGCUCCUUCCUUUACCGUUCGAUAUUUAAUGACCAGUCAAUAUGUGAAAAAGAUGCAAUUGAAAAUAUCAAACAACUUUGAGUUCAAUUCUUUUUACAAAUUGUUUAGAGCAACAAAAAAGACAUUGCUCUAACAACAAAAUAAAGAGAAAGAUUCAGACAUUGCUCUAACAACAGAAUGAAGAGAAAGGUUCAGGUACGACAAAACAAUGUCAAUUAAGAAAAACCUACUUAUAUUGUUGAAUAUAUAUGUAGCAUAAUUUGUGUAUGAAAUGUGAAUUUAUGAGCACAUUUGAUGCUAAUUGUUGUCAAAGUUUGGUUUUUCUGGGUAGGAAUAAUAUAAGCAAGCUAUUCGGUUUUCCAUAAUGUAAGAUGUCCACUCUUUUUUUUAAUACCGUUCCAUGCGUGUUAUCACUGAUUGUAAAAGUUACAUAUUUACCACUGAUUGUAAAAGUUACAUAUUUACCACACUGGAAGCUUAUUCAUUGGAAUCAAAACCAAUGUUAAAUGUCCAAAAUAAGUGGUGUAAAUCCCCUUUUGAUUCAUAGGAAUCAAAACCAAUGUUAAAUCUGCAAAAUAAGUGGGGUAAAUUCUCUUUUUCCCCUAUUGCUGAUAGGAGUUAUGUUUCGAAAUCAUUUGUAACGGUUAAGAAAUGUGGUUGGACCUAACUCAACCCUACAAAACCGGCUUGUAGGGUGAGGAUUGCCCCCACUUAUAAGGACAUGUUCAGGCCAUAUAUUGUCCGAUGUGGGACUCUUAACACACCCCCUCACGCCCAGGAUUAGACAACUGGAGCGUGGAAAUAAAUGGCGGGUGGCCAUAUAACGGAAACCAUAGAAGAUGGUCCACCGGAUCUUGAACGAGGCUCUUGAUACCAUGUUAAGACGUGUGGUUGGGCCUAACUCAACCCUACAAAACCGGCUUGUAGGGUGAGGAUUGCCCCCACUUAUAAGGACAUGUUCAGGCCAUAUAUUGUCCGAUGUGAGACUCUUAACAGUAACAAAUUCACAUUUGUUCAUGUAUAAAGAUAUGAACUUAGAAUUGAGAGACUUACCUUUUCUUUUCCCUUGCAACGGUUUCUAGCUUCUACCGUUCUUCCCUAUAGCAGAGGUUGCAAUUAAAAUUUUCUCAAACUCAUCACCAUUUGAUGUUUGGUAGAUAGGGAAAAUAGCUUUAUGUUUCAUUUUCUGGAAUCAUUCAAACUAUCCAUUUUCUUAGCUUGUAGUUUCCUGUAGUAUUUCAUAAUAAUUUCCCAGACAUCAUAUACUUCCCUGUAGGGUUUUUGGUCCUCUAUUUAACAUGUUCUAAAUUUUUUGGUCCUUUCAGUUUUGCUGACGAAACACCAAAUAAAAAACCAGAGUUGAUGCAGAUUAUAAUGAAAAAAAUUGAAGGGAUCUAGAAAAUUCUAAAACAUGUUAGUUAAAUAGGGGAACAAAAGGUUGAGUUUUAAAAUGGAGGACUAAAACUCUAAAGAGAAAAAAAAAAAAUAGAGGAUAAAAAAUGCAUUUAAGGCUAAAGGUUAACAUAUAUCUCCUCCAUUUCAAAUUAAUAGUUAAUUUCUGCAUAGUUAUAUUGGGCCUGAAACUCAUUAAAGCAAAACAAGCCCAAUCUUUUGAAUAGUCCAAUGGGCUAAUCCUGCACACGCUACCCAAAAUAAUAUAGAGAGUUUCUCAACCCACCCCCUCAAUAUAGUUUCAGUUGGAAAGCUAAGUAUGCAUUAUAACCAAUGUCAGUUAAACUUAUCUAACCGAUCCCUGAAAUAAUAUGCUCAAAAAUUGAAGGGUAAGAAGUUAUUAUAUGAAAAACUAGUCCUUCAUUUAUUCAUUCUAGUUUUAAAGAACACCAAACACACAUCAGUUAUUUUUCUUACACAAAUUCUUAUUAUAAAAUGCGACAAUAAAAUAGCAUAGAUUAAGAACCAAAUAAAAAUCUCAAUCUUCCUUCUUAUAGUCACCAGCAGUGUAAGGAGUGAAUGCCUCUUUAAUCAAGUUCUUCUUCCUCCAAGUAUGCCAACCCAAAUCCUCACAAAUUUCAUCAUUAUGGUUGAUACCAAAAGUUGUGAUGCAGUUCCUUU